GACGAACGCUGGCGGCGUGCUUAACACAUGCAAGUCGAACGGGCCCGCUCUCUUUUUUGGGGGUGGGUUGAGUGGCGAACGGGUGAGUAUCACGUGAGUAACCUGCCCCCUGCUCCUGGAUAACUGCUUGAAAGGGCGGCUAAUACGGGGUGUGCCGGCUGGUCCGCAUGGGCCUGGUCGGGAUAGUUUCAUCUUCGGGUGUUUCGGUGGGGGAUGGGCUCGGGGCCUAUUAGCUUGUUGGUGGGGUGAUGGCCCACCAAGGCGGUGACGGGUAGCCGGCCUGAGGGGGUGGGCGGCCACACGGGGGAUGGGACCCGGGCCCGACUCCUGCGGGAGGGAGCAGGGGGGGGUAUUGCACAAUGGGCGGAAGCCUGAUGCAGCGAAGGCGCGUGAGGGAUGGAGGCCUUCGGGUUGUGAACCUCUUUCUCCGGUGGUGAAGGCCCUGUCCGUUGCGGCGGGGUUGACGGUAGCCGGGUAUGAAGCGCCGGCUAACUACGUG
rnacentral:rRNA from 1 species